UACGAAGGGGGCUAGCGUUGCUCGGAAUCACUGGGCGUAAAGGGUGCGUAGGCGGGUCUUUAAGUCAGGGGUGAAAUCCUGGAGCUCAACUCCAGAACUGCCUUUGAUACUGGCGGUCUCGAGUCCGGUAGGGGAGUGUGGAACUCCUGGUGUAGCGGUGAAAUGCGCAGAUAUCAGGAAGAACACCAGCGGCGAAGGCGGCACUCUGGGCCGGAACUGACGCUGAGGAGCGAAAGCGUGGGUAGCAAACAGG
rnacentral:rRNA from 1 species